AGCGAACGCUGGCGGCAUGCUUAACACAUGCAAGUCGCACGGGCGGGGGCAACUCCGUCAGUGGCGGACGGGUGAGUAACGCGUAGGAAUCUAUCCUUGAAUGGGGGACAACCGUGGGAAACUACGGCUAAUACCGCAUGAUGCCUGAGGGCCAAAGACGAAAGUCGUUUGAGGAGGAGCCUGCGUCUGAUUAGGUAGUUGGUGGGGUAAAGGCCUACCAAGCCUACGAUCAGUAGCUGGUCUGAGAGGAUGAUCAGCCACAUUGGGACUGAGACACGGCCCAAACUCCUACGGGAGGCAGCAGUGGGGAAUAUUGGACAAUGGGCGCAAGCCUGAUCCAGCAAUGCCGCGUGGGUGAAGAAGGUCUUCGGAUUGUAAAGCACUUUUGGCAGGGACGAUGAUGACGGUACCUGCAGAAUAAGCUCCGGCUAACUUCGUG
rnacentral:rRNA from 1 species